rnacentral:lncRNA from 1 species
ACAGUGAGUGCAGAGCAAGAAAUGGAAGGGAAGAAAAGAGAUGGAAAUGUAUCUAGGUAUUCUUGUGCCUGAGGAUUGGCAUAGGAGCUAUUCCUUAUGCCUUUAGCCAGUAAUUCCAAAGGCCCCAUGGGACUUAAGCCUAUGUGGCCUCAGAUGGAUAAAGGAUACCCUCUGGUUCAAAGGAUGAAGCAAGAACGAAAUUAUUGACUGUGGUCUUCUUUUGUGGUGAACUAAACAAUUAUUGAUUAAAAAAAAAAACUCCCAAGCCCAAAGGAGGAAAAGAAUUGAUUAAUUCACAGUGAGGUAUAAAGGGUGCUAACAGUUGCAUGGGACCUGCCCCACUCCCUUUCUCUUGUUUUAGAGAAGGAUCAGGGUAGCUAAGUGGCAAAGUGGUUAGAGAACCAGGCCUGGAGUCAGGAGGGCCUGAUUUCAAAUCUGGCCUCAGACCCUUUGUAGUUGUGUGAUCCUGGGCAAGUCACUUAACUCCAUUUGUUUAAAUCUUGUCCUUUUGUCUUCAAGUUGUUACUAAACCAAAAAAAAAAAAGGUUUAAAAUAAAAAGGAUCUAUGAAGAGGUAAUUGAAUAAAU